rnacentral:rRNA from 1 species
UGAGGAAUUUUGCACAAUGGGGGAAACCCUGAUGCAGCGACGCCGCGUGAGUGAUGAAGGUCUUCGGAUCGUAAAGCUCUGUCAGCAGGGAAGAAAUAUGCGAUGGCUAAUAUCCAUUGUAUUUGACGGUACCUGCAAAGGAAGCACCGGCUAACUCUGUGCCAGCAGCCGCGGUAAUACAGAGGGUGCGAGCGUUGUUCGGAUUUACUGGGCGUAAAGGGCGCGUAGGCGGCCUAUCAAGUCAGGUGUGAAAGCCCACGGCUCAACCGUGGAAGUGCAUCUGAAACUGGCAGGCUUGAGUACUGGAGGGGAGUGUGGAAUUCCCGGUGUAGAGGUGAAAUUCGUAGAUAUCGGGAGGAAUACCGGUGGCGAAGGCGACACUCUGGACAGAUACUGACGCUGAGGCGCGAAAGCGUGGGGAGCAAACAGG